CGCUGAGUUUGAUCCUGGCUCAGGAUGAACGCUAGUGGCAGGCCUAAUACAUGCAAGGCGAAGGGGCAGCAAUGUCACUGUCGUACGGGUGCGUAACGCGUAUGCAACCUACCUAUCACAGGGGAAUAGCCUUUGGAAACAGGGAUUAAUACCGCAUAAAGCAGGGACACCGCAUGGUGAUAUUGCUAAAGAUUUAUCGGUGAUAGAUGGGCAUGCGUCUGAUUAGUUAGUUGGCAGGGUAACGG
rnacentral:rRNA from 1 species